UCCUCCCUCUUUCUUCGUGCUUAACACAUGCAAGUCGAACGGAAAGGCCCUUUCGGGGGUGCUUGAGUGGCGGACAGGCGGGUAACUAGUACGUAACUUACCUUCGCUUUCGGGUUAGAUUACGUCAACUGGGGCUAAUACCGACUAGGAAUCCUUGCUGCAUGGUGGGGGUUGGAAAGAUUCGGUGGGUUUGGAUGGAUUCGCGGCUUGUUUGUUUGUUUGUGGGGUGGUGGCUUACCAAGGCUUUCACGGGUAGCCGGCCUGCGGGGGAGACCGGCCAAAUUGGGACUGGGAUACGGCCCAGACUCCCUCGGGAGGCAGGAAUUGGGAAUAUUUCACAAUGGGCGGAAGCCCUAUUCAGCAACGCCGGGGGCGGGAUGGCGGCCUUUGGGUUGUAAACCGCGUUCAGCAGGUGAGAAGGUGUGAGUGACGGUACCUGGAGAAGAAGCACCGGCUAACUACGUG
rnacentral:rRNA from 1 species